UACGGAGGAUGCGAGCGUUAUCCGGAUUCAUUGGGUUUAAAGGGUGCGUAGGCGGAAGAUUAAGCGUGAGGUGAAGUGCCACAGCUCAACUGUGGAACUGCCUCGCGAACUGGUUUUCUGGAAUGCCCCUGCCGUGGGAGGAAUGUGUGGUGUAGCGGUGAAAUGCAUAGAGAUCACACAGAACACCGAUUGCGAAGGCAUCUCACGAAGGGGUGAUUGACGCUGAGGCACGAAAACGUGGGGAUCAAAC
rnacentral:rRNA from 1 species